AGAUUGAACGCUGGCGGCAUGCCUUACACAUGCAAGUCGAACGGCAGCGCGGGAGCAAUCCUGGUGGCGAGUGGCGAACGGGUGAGUAAUACAUCGGAACGUGCCCAAUCGUGGGGGAUAACGCAGCGAAAGCUGUGCUAAUACCGCAUAAGAUCUACGGAUGAAAGCAGGGGAUCGCAAGACCUUGCGCGAAUGGAGCGGCCGAUGGCAGAUUAGGUAGUUGGUGAGGUAAAGGCUCACCAAGCCUUCGAUCUGUAGCUGGUCUGAGAGGACGACCAGCCACACUGGGACUGAGACACGGCCCAGACUCCUACGGGAGCAGCAGUGGGGAAUUUGGACAAGUGGGCGAAAGCCUGAUCCAGCCAUGCCGCGUGCAGGAUGAAGGCCGUUCGGUUAGUAACUGUCGUUUUGUAACGGAACGUAAAGUCUUACGUUUACUAAGUAAACGAGGUAUAC
rnacentral:rRNA from 1 species